rnacentral:rRNA from 1 species
AUUGAACGCUGGCGGCAGGCUUAACACAUGCAAGUCGAGCGGUAACAGGGGUAGCUUGCUACCCGCUGACGAGCGGCGGACGGGUGAGUAAUGCUUAGGAAUCUGCCCAGUAGUGGGGGAUAGCCCGGGGAAACCCGGAUUAAUACCGCAUACGUCCUACGGGAGAAAGCAGGGGAUCUUCGGACCUUGCGCUAUUGGAUGAGCCUAAGUCGGAUUAGCUAGUUGGUGGGGUAAAGGCCUACCAAGGCGACGAUCCGUAGCUGGUCUGAGAGGAUGAUCAGCCACAUCGGGACUGAGACACGGCCCGAACUCCUACGGGAGGCAGCAGUGGGGAAUAUUGGACAAUGGGGGCAACCCUGAUCCAGCCAUGCCGCGUGUGUGAAGAA